AGCAGUCAGGCCUGACCCGCUGGUCCCCUGCUGGCCCGAGGAAAGAGGCGGCACCAUGAGCCACGCAGUAACCAUCGAGGAACCCCAGGCCCAGCCGCAGGUGUUUCAAACUCGGUACCGGGAGAGGUCGCGGGCUGGGAGCCACAUCUCCUCCAAUCGAGCGUAUGAUUUUCUGUACGAUCCAUUGUUUAUUGUGUCAAGUGAGAAAGACCACACACAGGCAAAUAUCCAAGCCACCCUGAUUCGCAGCAGACUGAGAAAAGUUCCCAGGUUUAAAACCAUGUUCAGUAACCUGAUCCAUUAUCCAAGAUAUUCUCUAUAUUGGAGCAAGUCAGAUCCUGUCCCACCAUUUAUCAGUCGGGAAUGGAAGGGCCAUGAGGAGAAACACAGAGAAGCCCUCCGGCAGCUCGCCACAACUGACACUUCUUUUCAGAUGCCUAGAGAAGUUUAUGAAGAUCCUGAAGUUACUGGAAAGAAUCGCUAUAAAUACUUUGAAAGGCCUUUUCUUCCAUUUUUUCAGCAGAUGCCAUUCAAUGUUGUUUAUGCCGUAUCCAAGUAAGUAACCAUUAUUUGAAAACUCUUUCUCAGUUUAUUUAUUGUUUGCUUCCAUAUUUUUUCUUAGAAGAUAGUUCUGUAAAUCACUAUUUUUCAAAUUGUGGAUCACAAAGCAUUAGAAGGGUAUGAAAUCUUCUAGUGUGUCAUGAGCAGCAUUUUAAAACAUGAAACAGAAUAGAAAAUAGCCAAAGCAUCAGGUAUAUGGAGGGUAAGUUUGUUUUUGUUUAUCACUUUUGUUUCAGAAAAAUAUAUGUUUAUAUGUAUAUGAUGGAUUAUGAUAUAAAAUGUAUUUCUUACUGUUAGUUGUCCAUUUGUGCUGCUAUAACAAAUUAACACAUUGAGUGAUAUAAAUAAAAUAAAUUUAUUUCUUGAAGUUCUGACGGCUGGGUAGUCCAAGAAGCAAGGCAGUCCAGUGGGCAGUCAGUGUCGGUGAGGGCCUUCUUGCUGUGUCUUCACAUGG
rnacentral:sRNA from 1 species